GAGGAAAGAUGGAGGCGUGCCUAAUACAUGCAACUCGAGCGCACGGACGAGACGUUUGCUUCUCUGAUGUUAGCGGCGGACGGGUGAGUAACACGUGGAUAACCCACCUAUCAGCCUGAGAUAACUUCGGGACACCGUAGCUAAUACCGGAUAAUAUUUUGCACCGCAUGGUUCUACCGUCAAAGACGGUCUUGCUGUCACUCAUAGCUGGAUCCGCGCUGCAUUAGCUAGUUGUUAAGGUAACGGCUUACCAAGGCAACAAUGCAUAGCCGACCUGAGAGGGUGAUCGGCCACACGGGAAGGGAGACGCGGACCGGACUCCUAAGGGAGGGAGAAGGGGGGAGGCUUCCGCAAUGGGCGAAAACAUGACGGAGCAGGGCCGAGCAAGAAAUGAAGAUCUACGGAUCGUAAAACUCUGUUAAUAGGGAAGAAAAUAUGUGUAAGUAACUGUGCACAUCUUGACGGUACCUAAUCAGAAGGCCACGACUAAAUACGUG
rnacentral:rRNA from 1 species